rnacentral:rRNA from 1 species
GGUUACCUUGUUACGACUUCACCCCAGUCAUGAAGCACACCGUGGUAAACGCCCUCCCGAAGGUUAGACUAUCUACUUCUGGUGCAAUCCACUUCCAUGGUGUGACGGGCGGUGUGUACAAGACCCGGGAACGUAUUCACCGCGGCGCGCUGAUCCGCGAUUACUAGCAAUUCCAGCUUCAUGCACUCGAGUUACAGAGUACAAUCCGAACUGAGACACAUUUUUGGGAUUAGCUAGGAGUCGCCUCUUUGCUUCCCAUUGUAAGUGCCAUUGUAGCACGUGUGUAGCCCAACACAUAAGGGCCAUGAGGACUUGACGUCAUCCCCACCUUCCUCCCACUUAUCAUUG